rnacentral:rRNA from 1 species
CCUACGGGUGGCUGCAGUGGGGAAUAUUGGACAAUGGGCGAAAGCCUGAUCCAGCCAUGCCGCGUGUGUGAAGAAGGCCUUCGGGUUGUAAAGCACUUUCAGUGGGGAAGAAAGCCUUGGGGCUAAUACCCUCGAGGAAGGACAUCACCCACAGAAGAAGCACCGGCUAACUCCGUGCCAGCAGCCGCGGUAAUACGGAGGGUGCGAGCGUUAAUCGGAAUUACUGGGCGUAAAGCGCGCGUAGGCGGUCUGAUAAGCCGGUUGUGAAAGCCCCGGGCUCAACCUGGGAACGGCAUCCGGAACUGUCAGGCUAGAGUGCAGGAGAGGAAGGUAGAAUUCCCGGUGGAGCGGUGAAAUGCGUAGAGAUCGGGAGGAAUACCAGUGGCGAAGGCGGCCUUCUGGACUGACACUGACGCUGAGGUGCGAAAGCGUGGGUAGCAAACAGGAUUAGAUACCCUUGUAGUC